rnacentral:rRNA from 1 species
AGCAGUCGCCACGGGAACACGGAGGGAGCUAGCGUUGUUCGGAAUUACUGGGCGUAAAGCGCACGUAGGCGGUUAUUCGAGUCAGAGGUGAAAGCCCGGGGCUCGACUCCGGAACUGCCUUUGAAACUAGAUGACUGGAAUCUUGGAGAGGUCAGUGGAAUUCCGAGUGUAGAGGUGAAAUUCGUAGAUAUUCGGAAGAACACCAGUGGCGAAGGCGACUGACUGGACAAGUAUUGACGCUGAGGUGCGAAAGCGUGGGGAGCAAACAGGAUUAGAUACCCCCGUAGUCCCUGUCUCUUAUAC